CGUCUAUGAAGAGGUUUGAGCACAUGUAUAAAACAUUUUUCACAUUAUUUUAUAUCAGCUGUAGUUUAUUUGAGACUUUUUAGAGAGUUUCUUCAUUUCAUAUUUGAAUGGCAAGUGGUAGUCUGCUUAAGUUUUCCUUUUACUCUCACAGGGCAAAGACAUGUACACUGCCAACAUGCAUGUUAUUGCCACAAUCCUCUAGCCUACUCUCCAGAUAAUGCUUUCAUGAAGGAUGCCCUUGUGUUCCCUGCAUGAACACAAGCCACCGGCCCAGAUCAUUAUCUGUUAUGUGUACUGAAGCCACUCUGAAGAGAGAUCCUUCUUCUAGUCUCCCUGUAUAUUAAUCAAAGCCUGGUUUUGGAGAUGACCAGCA